GUUUAAACAUUGACAGUCCCCCUGGGACUGUUACUAUAGGUCGUAAGGGCUCGUGAAACUAAUGGGGAUAAUUUGGUCAUUCCGUAAUUUCGUGAGCCGACAUUGGAUAAUUUGGUCAUUUGCCAUCAUCAGUAACUUCGUGAGCCGACUUUGGAUAAUUUGGUCAUUUCAUCAUCCGUGAUUUCGUGAGCCGACUUUGGAUAUUUGGUCAUUUGGUCAUUUGCUUUCGUCAGUUGGCCUAUAUAAGGCACCCCUUUCUUCACUCUCCAUUCACUA
rnacentral:misc_RNA from 1 species